AUGCAUAUCAAUAAGCGGAGGAAAAGAAACCAACAGGGAUUGCCCUAGUAACGGCGAGUGAAGCGGCAACAGCUCAAAUUUGAAAUCUGGCGUCUUUGGCGUCCGAGUUGUAAUUUGCAGAGGGCGCUUUGGCAUUGGCAGCGGUCCAAGUUCCUUGGAACAGGACGUCACAGAGGGUGAGAAUCCCGUACGUGGUCGCUAGCCUUUACCGUGUAAAGCCCCUUCGACGAGUCGAGUUGUUUGGGAAUGCAGCUCUAAAUGGGAGGUAAAUUUCUUCUAAAGCUAAAUACUGGCCAGAGACCGAUAGCGCACAAGUAGAGUGAUCGAAAGAUGAAAAGCACUUUGGAAAGAGAGUUAAAAAGCACGUGAAAUUGUUGAAAGGGAAGCGCUUGCAGCCAGACUUGCCUGUAGUUGCUCAUCCGGGUUUUUACCCGGUGCACUCUUCUACGGGCAGGCCAGCAUCAGUUUGGGCGGUUGGAUAAAGGUCUCUGUCAUGUACCUCCUCUCGGGGAGAACUUAUAGGGGAGACGACAUGCAACCAGCCCGGACUGAGGACCGCGCAUCUGCUAGGAUGCUGGAGUAAUGGCUGUAAGCGGCCCGUCUUGAACACGGACCA
rnacentral:rRNA from 1 species